rnacentral:rRNA from 1 species
UACGUAGGGGGCAAGCGUUGUCCGGAUUUAUUGGGCGUAAAGAGCGUGUAGGCGGCCUGACAGGUCUGCUGUGAAAACUCGGAGGCUCAACCUCGAGAUGUCGGCGGAAACCGUCUGGCUAGAGUCCGGAAGAGGGAGAGUGGAAUUCCGUGGUGUAGCGGUGAAAUGCGCAGAUAUCAGGAAGAACACCUAUGGCGAAGGCAGCGUCUCCUGGGACGGUACUGACGCUGAGACGCGAAAGCGUGGGGAGCGAACAGG